rnacentral:rRNA from 1 species
ACGGAGGGAGCUAGCGUUGUUCGGAAUUACUGGGCGUAAAGCGUACGUAGGCGGUUAUUCAAGUCAGAGGUGAAAUCCCGGGGCUCAACCCCGGAACUGCCUUUGAAACUAGAUAGCUAGAAUCAUGGAGAGGUUAGUGGAAUUCCGAGUGUAGAGGUGAAAUUCGUAGAUAUUCGGAAGAACACCAGUGGCGAAGGCGACUAACUGGACAUGUAUUGACGCUGAGGUACGAAAGCGUGGGGAGCAAACAGG